CUGACUAUUUUGAAAAUAUUGUUCUCAAAUUUAAUUUCAAUGUGACUGUAAUGAAUGUUACUGGGAACUGUGCGCAUCCUGAAGGUAUAGUGACGUUAAAUAUAAGUUCAAGUCACAAUACACAACCAGAGCCAGCCCUAGUCUCCUACAAUAUUUCAGCUGCAAGUAAGCAGCAGUCUGUUGAUUUUGUCAUAAAAGAUAAAAAUCAAAACCUACGGUUUACCUGGACUGAUACUAGUGCAUGCUGUCCUGUGACAAUAAUCAAUGGGACUGUCAGGUCAGAUACAGAAGAGGAAACAUUAAUAAUUUGCAAUAAAAUGUCAUGGCAAUCGUCAAGUACUUCAGUUAAGUUUCAAAAGAAUGGCAAUAAAUUAGCAUCAUAUCCAGUAGAUCAUAGUGGCACUGGAAAUAAAGGUUGUAGAAGUGUCAGUGUAAAUACAGGUCUACCUACAUGCAUGAUUGCUACUUCAAUAUCACCAUCUUUGACUGAAUAUUCCUCUACUAUCAAUGUAGAUCUAUAUGCAUCUCUACCUAAUACUUCAGUAUCAUUACCUGAAUCUUCAGUGUCAAUGUACGCAGCAUCAUCUUCAAUUAGUACAGUGUCAAUGCAUACAGUAUCAUUACCUGAAUCUUCAAUUAGUGCAGAGUCAAUGCAUACAGUAUCGUUACCUGAAUCUUCAAUAAGCACAGUGUCAAUGCAUACAGUAUCAUUACCUGAAUCUUCAAUUAGUACAGUGUCAAUGCAUACAGUAUCAUUACCUGAAUCUUCAAUUAGUACAGUGUCAAUGCAUACAGUAUCAUUACCCCUGAAUCUUCAAUAAGCACAGUGUCAAUGCAUACAGUAUCGUUACCUGAAUCUUCAAUAAGCACAGUGUCAAUGCCUGCUGCUAUACCUACAAUACCAAUGCGUACUUCAAAAUCAUCCUCUAAAUCUAGAUCUGCAACUCAAGCCCCCAUGUUUAGUGUAUUAUCAAUGUCUACAACUUCAUUUUUGCCAACAGUUUCCUCUCUUACUUAUCCCUCUCCCUCUUCUCCUGUGUACAUAUAUUGUUCAAAAAUUGAUCAGUGGGAAGCCACUGAACCUGGAGUUAGGGCAAAUGGUACUUGUCAUAAGGGAACAUUUAAUGCUACAAGGUAUUGUGAUCAUAAUGGAAGUUGGGGUCAAAUUAACUGCAGUGCUAGUAAGCAAUUUAGAGAAAUAAUGUCAAAGAUUACUAUAUCGCAUUAUGAUGCUCUGGAAUCACUGUCACAACAACUGAAUGACUUUCCAGUAGCUCAAAG